CCGGCCCGCGCGCCCCUUGGGGCCGCCCCCGCAUCCCGCUCGCCGGCGUCUGGCUCUCACGAUGAUGAAGAAGAAGAAGUUUAAGUUUAAGGUGGACUUUGAGCUCGAGGAGCUCUCCUCGGUGCCCUUCGUCAAUGGGGUCCUCUUCUGCAAGAUGCGGCUGCUGGACGGCGGCAGCUUCACCGCGGAGUCCCCCAGGGAAGUGGUGCAGGCAAACUGUGUUCACUGGAGAAAGAAGUUCUCAUUUAUGUGCAAAAUGAGUGCAAGUGCCACCACAGGCAUCCUGGAUCCUUGUAUCUACAGAGUAUCUGUGAGGAAGGAAUUAAAAGGUGGAAAAGCUUAUGCAAAGCUGGGCUUUGCAGAUCUAAACCUGGCAGAGUUUGCUGGAUCAGGAAAUACCACUCGUCGCUGUUUACUGGAAGGCUAUGAUACCAAAAAUACAAGACAGGAUAAUUCCAUUCUUAAAGUUUUGAUCAGUAUGCAGCUGAUGUCUGGAGACCCAUGUUUUAAAACGCCUCCUUCUACAUCAAUGUCUCUACCAAUUGCUGGUGAAUCUGAAUCUCUGGAAGAAGAUAGAAAAGGUGGAGAGACUCUCAAAAUCCAUCUUGGAAUAGCAGGUACGAAUCUUUCAGCAAAGAGUGCCUCUGUUCCAGAUGAACUUGGUGCCUGUGGACAUUCUAGAACAUCAAGCUAUGCAAGCCAGCAGUCAAAAGUAUCAGGGUAUAGCUCGUGCCACUCCCGGUCAUCUAGCUUCUCUGACCUCUGCCACAGGAGAAAUACCUCAGUGGGAAGCACAUCAACAGGAAUUGAAAGUAUUCUAGAGCCCUGUGAUGAAAUUGAGCAAAAAAUAGUUGAACCAAACCUUGAUACAGCUGGCAAAGAAGAUACCACUUCAGAACCGUUCAACAGAUGCCCAGUGAAGCAAGAUUCUGUAGAAUCUCAGCUGAAGCGAGUUGAUGACACCAGAGUGGAUGCAGAUGAUAUUGUAGAGAAAAUACUGCAGAGUCAAGACUUCAGCCUAGAUUCCAGUGCAGAAGAAGAAGGACUGAGGUUAUUUGUGGGUCCCGGGGGAAGUACGACCUUCGGCAGCCAUCAUCUUCCAAAUAGGGUGGGGUCUGGAGCUUAUGAACAAGUUGUGAUCAAACGCUAGAAGUCAAGCUGGUGAACUGAAGCUUCUUCCCUGGGAGUUUGAGACAUGGGCAAUCAAGCUGUCAAGGCACUUCAUUCAAGCAUUUAUGAGAAAAUGAACAUAUUUGAAACAUGAAGCGCGUUCCUCUAUCAAGAGGAAAGCCAACACUGAUUCCUUCUGUGAAAGUGUGUGCCACCAUCCUGUCCCACCCACCAAAAGGGAACAUCAGAACAGUAGUAUCCAGGUGCUGUGCCACGUGUGUUUAGAGGCACACAGCUUCUGUGGUCACUGCACAUGAUAAUGAAAGCCUGCUCUUUCUUUUGAAACAGCCAGGUGGGGAAAACAACAUUAUACGUCUGACUAUAGCUCAGUCCUGAAGUGUAAAACCUGUAGUAGAGGUAGGUGCUCAACAGGUUUGGGCUCUAAUUAUUUAAUUUUAAUGUUUGGGAGAUAGUAAGUGAAUGUCUUGAACCCUAUAAAUUCUGUCAAGAUAGUUACAAUCUCUUAAGGGUAUCUUCCAUAAUAUUAUAUACUACCUAUGGUAUUGUACUAGGUUUAUUAACUCUUCUUAGUUAAAUAAUUGAUAGAAAGUUUGGGUGUUCAUCCCUCGGGGAAAUGUUAUACUACAGUCAAAGCGUGGAGAAUGCUUAAUUCUAAAUGUAUCCGUCACAAGUGGAAUAAGCGUGUUUAAGUCUGAGAUGUGUGAAUGAGUGUAACGCCAUUAUUAUGCAGCAUGCAUUGUUACUUGUUAAUGUUAGAUGAGCUGCACAACUCCCGCUAGCACUAUAUAUGAGAUUCAAGCUAAGCUUAAUAUUCAGUAUGGUAGGCUCCCAUGAGGCACCUUAAGAGCUGUUCUAUUAUUCACUGAAUAAUAUCUGCUGGUUUCAGGAGUCAAAAUUCAGAACAGGAGAAAAACCUUAGCAUCAAAAGCCAAGCAGCCUUUUCUGUGUAAGUUCAGACUUAUCUGAAACUGAAAAUUGUUCCAAGGAGGUGGCAGAUAAGACAGGGGACAGCUGCUUGACAUUACUGACAUAGACUCGUGAUUUUCUAUUUUAACUCCCCACGAUGGGAUAGUAUGUUUUUUCCUUUACUAUAACAGUUGUUGUUUUGAGACAAUAAAAUAUAACAUAAUCCAAUGCAGCUUUUCAAGUAUUAUCUGAUCUGGAUCCAGUUUAACAAGCUCGAAACAUAGAUCAUCUUUUUAUCAGGUGGGAAGAGUUUUUCUGGUCUUACAUGACGAGUUUUAAUUUUCUUGGAAUCAUUCAGUCACUGCAGAAAAAUGUAGAUUCUUUAGAACCAGUAAUUCCCAGUCCUUACUUUCAAAACCAUGUCAAAAAAAAAUGUGGUAUGUUUGAAUAAUUUUGGUCUAGGUAUUUUUGUUUUGGCAAAGUAAAGGGAAAAUACAUUAAAAUAUUUCAAUACCCAAAUUUAAAGGUUUAGAAAAAGUUGAGUAGUUCAUGUUACAGUUUUCGGUUUUUUAACAAUUCAAGGAUUAGGUAUUCCAAAUUAAUCCAGUACUACUGUUGCACCUAGAUAUUUUUUAAAAGGUUAAAUUCCAUUUUAGAAUAUUUUGAAUGUUGAGAGAUAAGGUUUUCUGAGUCGUUACUAAUACUUUUGUUGUUUUGUUUUGAAAGGAAAAAAUGUGACCUGAACAUUUUAGUCUAACCAAGGAAAAUGUUAGCUGAAGUGGUAAAGACUUGCUUGCUCUCUGUGAUUAACAAGUCAAACUGGGACAGUUCAGAAAUUAUACUUGGUCAAUUCUUAGAUGGUACGUCAUGUGAAUAUAGUCAAGUACUGUAACUGAAAUUGUUAUGCCACUUUCUGUGUUGGCUUAGGUACUAUGCAUAAUUUUAAUAGCCAAGAUGUUUAAGAAUAUGAACUCUAAAAAUAUAAAGGAUGAAAUUAAGCCUGUUAACCUUAUUUUAAGACUACUCUGGAAACAAAGGCCUUAUUAUUACCUUAUAUGUGAUUUUUCAUAAGAUAAUAUAUACACAGUAUAUUUUAAUCAUGUGAGUGGUCUCUAGCUACUCCCUAUAUGACAAAGCUGGCAAAAUUUUUUAUUUACACAGCAUAGUCUGCAUUUACAAAUGUUUAUGUUCAUCUUAUAUAUAUAUAUAACAAAAUUCUCUUGCUGAUAUUCAUUGACCAAAUCCCAUGCAGAGAAAGACUUAGGAUAUAUUGUUUGAUUGUUUUUUGGAAAUAUGUCUUAUUCUGGAAGUUGGUAUACUUGUGGGUGAUCAUGUAAAUAUUUACCGAAAAAAAAAUUGUUAUGGAAGUGAUUCCAUUAGUAUUGUUCUAAUACUUGGAAAAUGACCUUCAUAUUUAUGUAUUUCUUGUUUUACUGUACAACUGUAAUUCCAGGAAAUUUUUUUACCAAAAAAAAAAAACCCCUUUUAUUGUAUUUGUAAUAAUGUUAAGGUGAAUCUUCAAUAAAAAUCAUCUUAAACUUUA